rnacentral:rRNA from 1 species
GACGAACGCUGGCGGCGUGCCUAACACAUGCAAGUCGAGCGGAGUUGUAUCGGAAGCUUGCUUUCGAUAUAAUUUAGCGGCGGACGGGUGAGUAACGCGUGGGCAACCUGCCUCGUACUGGGGGAUAACACUGGGAAACUAGUGCUAAUACCGCAUAACAAAGCAUUACCGCAUGGUAGAGCUUUCAAAGGAGCAAUCCGGUAUGAGAUGGGCCCGCGUCAGAUUAGCUAGUUGGUGAGGUAAAGGCUCACCAAGGCGACGAUCUGUAGCGGGUCUGAGAGGAUGAUCCGCCACACUGGGACUGAGACACGGCCCAGACUCCUACGGGAGGCAGCAGUGGGGAAUUUUGGACAAUGGGGGCAACCCUGAUCCAGCCAUGCCGCGUGAGUGAAGAAGGCCUUCGGGUUGUAAAGCUCUUUCGGCCGGGAAGAAAUCGCACAGGCUAAUACUCUGUGUGGAUGACGGUACCGGCAUAAGAAGCACCGGCUAACUACGUGCCAGCAGCCGCCGUAAUAC